UGGGGAAUAUUGCACAAUGGGGGAAACCCUGAUGCAGCGACGCAGCGUGCGGGAUGACGGCCUUCGGGUUGUAAACCGCUUUCAGCAGGGAAGAAGCGAAAGUGACGGUACCUGCAGAAGAAGUACCGGCUAACUACGUGCCAGCAGCCGCGGUAAUACGUAGGGUACGAGCGUUGUCCGGAAUUAUUGGGCGUAAAGAGCUCGUAGGUGGUUGGUCACGUCUGCUGUGGAAACGCAACGCUUAACGUUGCGCGUGCAGUGGGUACGGGCUGACUAGAGUGCAGUAGGGGAGUCUGGAAUUCCUGGUGUAGCGGUGAAAUGCGCAGAUAUCAGGAGGAACACCGGUGGCGAAGGCGGGACUCUGGGCUGUAACUGACACUGAGGAGCGAAAGCAUGGGGA
rnacentral:rRNA from 1 species